CACCUUGGCCUCCCAAAGUGCUGGGAUUACAGUCAUGAGCCAUCAUUACCAGCCUACUAUAUAUAUAUUUUUUAACACUGUAUACAAUACACACAGUUUGCACCUUUUUUUUCUUCAUUUAAUAAUGUAUCUUGAGGAUUGUUGCAUUUGGCACUUCAUCUAAAUACAAAUUAUUUUUUCUCCCACUAAAAUAUAGAUUUCAUGAUGAUGAGCACUUAUCUUUUCACUGCUUUUUAUUUUUAAAUGUGUUUUUCUGUUGUUUCAUGAAUAUUUAGUUUGUAUGCUAUCUUUUGCCUUUGUCAGUAAUGCUGUUGCAAUCAAUAUCCUUGUACACGUCAAUUCUUACAAGUAGGAGUAUAAAUACAGGAUGAAAUUCCAAACGUAGAUUUGCUGUGUCAAGGGGUGUGUACCUUUCCAAUUGAUAAGGUAUUGCCAAAUGUCUUCCCAUUGAGGUUGAACCAAUUUAUAUACUCACUAGCCUUGUUGCUAACAUUAUAACACAAGAAGCAUUAAAAUUGAUUUUUG
rnacentral:lncRNA from 1 species